rnacentral:lncRNA from 1 species
CCAGUCCUUUCAUCAACCACUAAGUGGUUGAAGUUCCCCUCCGUUUGAUCUCCAGUGAAGGUGAUGAAGGGCCUCUUUGAGUGGGGAGGCUGCUGCCUCCCGAGAGGUGACACUGUGGCAGAUAACAGAAGGUGAGAAACCAGGCAAGUCCACUUCCACAUGGCUGGUGACAUAUUUAGAAACGUUUGUAUUCCCAAGGGAAUGAGGAUUGGAAGCUGUGUCUUCAAAACGCCAAUUCCCUGGCAGAUUUUGUCCUGGGAAAGCUCCUCGCUUGCUUUUGGGUGGGUUUAUAUAUAUAAAUAUAGAUAUUAUUCUUUUUCCCUCUCCUUUCCCCCCACUUCAGUCU